rnacentral:lncRNA from 1 species
GCCCUGAGACCACGCCCCCGUCCGGCGAGCCCCACCCUCCCAGCCCACAGAAGGCUGAGUGACGGGGUAUACAGCCAGUCACAAGGGCCUCUAUGAGGGGGCGGAAGCGAGCCGCGUUUCCCCGCCCCGCUGCAGGCUUAGGGCUGCUCUGGCGCGACGCUGCGGCCUGUGAGAGCCAGCAGCUUUCGACUUUCCAGUCUGUUCUGGUCCUUUGGAACGUGGCAGACGUGGAAAGCAAGAGGACUCUCGCGAGCUUUGGCGGACCCUGUACAAUGGGGAUGGGGCGGGGCGGGCGACACGUGUGCAGCGUCUGGAUUAGAGCUCACCCUCUCUUGGCUUUUCACCGGGAAUUUUGUUCGUGUCCCACUUCCCUGUGCACGCAGAGAGCCAACAGAUAUCUCCUGAAAGCCUCCUUGGCCCAACUGCAAAGAGAGAUCUGAAAAAAACUGAUGGUGGUUACUUAGCAAGGUCCACUUCUUUGAAGAAAUCAACUUUCUCUGAUAACAGACUCCAAGAUGUCAUGGAAUGAUGUUUUCCAGAAACUAUCAUUAUAUUUCAGAAUACAGUGAAACCAUUUUCCUAUAUUUCCAGAAACCUAGUACCACUGAUAAGAUACAUAGCUUGUUAUCUUAGCCAGUACCAGACCGAAAUAGAGGCUUUGUAAACAGAGAUCACAGGAAGUUAGAGAUUUCCUGACUUCCUUCAUGUAAUGUAAGAAGCAGCUACAAUGAUAUUUAUAUGCUCACUAUUAUAAAAUAAAACUUGUAAUAAUAUUCAUGGCAUUCCCCGACGGUGCAGUAGGUGAAGAAUUCACCUGCAAUGCAGGAGACCCAGGAGAUGUGGGUUCGAUCCCUGGGUUGGGAAGAUCCCCUGGGGAAGGAAACGGCAACCCACUCCAAUAUUCUUGCCUGGGAGAUCCCAUGGACAGAGAAGUCUGGCAGGCUACAGAAAAUUGGACAUGACUGAGCAACAACACACACAAACACACACAAAUAAGGUCAGUUAUAUAUAUUUACAGCUGUAUAUACUUACCUAUUAUGAGUAUUAAAAAACACAAAGCUUACCUUGGACCCAUGAAUUCUUUACAGACAUCCUUUUCUCAGCAUUGAGUCGAAGAAGGUUAGGAAGUCAAGGUACCUUUGCAUUUAAAGGUUGAAUCUCUCCUUAACAGGAGCCCAUUCUCAUUUCUGUGAUUUCUGAGUAAGCUAUGAAUGAACCCUGGAUGAAGCAAUGUUAAAAGGACCAUAAAGAAAAGACUUAACUAGGACAAUGUAUUAAAAUACUAACUUAAUAGAGCUUUUGAACUAGGCCAAAUGUGCCUUUCAGAUAUUUUCAUAAACUUUCCGUUGGUUUCACCACUGGGAUUUGCAAGUGAGAACUUGAGGACAAGAUUUGUCCUAGUUGUUUUUCCCUCAUGUUGACCCUUCAGUCUCUAGUUAAAUGCUUUCCAAAUUAAAUAUUUCUGGACUUAUGUAAACCUAGUGUUUUAAAGUUGCAUUUUACCUGCUUCCUAGAAAGUGGCUCUGAUUUACAUGCAGUCUUGCUAAUAUAAAAUUUUAUUAUUGCAAACUAAAAAUAAGUAUUUCUCUAUCAUUAUUUAUCAUAGUAAAUUCUGCUCUAGUGAAAAAAAUGAAUGUCAAUGUAUCAUGAUGAUUCAGUUGUGUGUUUUCAUUUUACAUUAGUAGAAUGUGUUGCAAUGAAGGACAUGUCUGUAAAUACAAGAACACUUAAGGCAUUCUGUACUCAAAGUGUUCUCAAAGUAAUUAUUCCCAUAUGAGUUAUAUCUCAACAAGUAAAUGUACUGUCAUUUUCAUCAAACAGCUUGACUUUGUAUUACUAUAGAAAAAAUGAACCUGGCUAGUGCCUAUCUCAUAAAUACAUGGAAAGAAGUCAUUUUAAACCUAGCUGAAAAUAGAUCAGAAUUGGAAAUACUGUGUUGUGAUACAGAAAAAUAAUCUGAGAACAUACUAGCUAAGAAACCUAUAGUUUCAUUUUUCAUUUCAAUUCUUUACGUUUUCUAUCAGAAUUUGUGGUAUUUCGUGCCAAAUUCUCUUCCUAAAAAACAACAACAACAAAAAAUAGCAUCUCUUCUCUAUAAGUAAUCUAUCAUCUACAAGUACAUCUAUCAUCUAUAAGUAAUAACGAUCGCUAGGUCCUAAGUUUCCUAGUCUAAAGAAGUAAUAGAAUUAAUUGAUUCUACUUACAUCUAAAAAUUAAGACCAGAAAGGAACUUAAGCAUGGAGAGAAGUCAAAUAAUUAGAGAAUAACUACUGAUUAUAGGCCUGAUGGUUGUAUGGUAUAUAAAAGGAAAUAUUUGUGUGAUUUAGGAGUCUUUAGAAAGUAUUGGAGAAAUCAAGAAAAGAAAAAGGAAGUGGAAGGGUCCCAAAGAUUCAGUUUAUUUUCAAGAUAAUUUUACUUAAACUAUAGUGGCCAUAAGGAGGUAGAAAUAGGUUCCUUAUCCAAAGAAAAGUAUCCUGAAGCUAGUUUCUAGGAUCCUCCAAUUUCAUCAAGUCUGGGUACAUAAAGCAGAUGUAUUUGCCUUACAAUAAAUAGUGUUAUUACGACAUGCAACUGGAAUCAAUUAGCCAACUUAAAUUCUUGAUACUCUUGUUUAGUCACUGAGUCGUGUAUGACUUUGCGACCCUAUAGACUGUAGCCUGCCAGUCUGUUCUGUCCAUGGUAUUUCCAAGGCAAGAAUACUGGAGUAGGUAGCCCUUUCCUUCUUCUGGGGAUCCUCUCAACCCAGAGGUCGAACCUGCGUCUCCUGAGUUGACAGGCAUAAUCUUUACCACUGAGCCACCAGGGAGGCCCUGAAUUCUUGACACCUGAUGGAAAAUCAUGCAUACUUUACAUAAAAUUAUUAUUAGCCCAGCCCUCUUUAUACUGUCAUCAUUCUGACUUGAACCUAUUCUGCAAUUUCUUAAGCACAUGAUAAACAUUACUGAGCCUGUACCAAAAAAUAAAUCCUAAGAGACUUUGCCAAAAACGUGCUAGCAUGGAAAAUAGGGAUUGUCUCUUUGUACCAAUGCAACAAGAUUUGAUUCACCUAAAGGCCACUGUAAUAUAUUUGAAAUUCUACAGUAUUUCUUUAUUUUAAGGAGUAUGAUAGCCAUUGCUUUUAAAAGCGGUUGUUUAUCACUAUAUGAUGACUGUAUAGUAGUAGAGCUGAGGAUUCUCUUAAUUCUUCAUGGAACAGCUUCAGCGCUGACUUCAUCACUUGAUGAAUUCAUUUCUCUUGGCAAAUCCCUUUGAGUUAGAGACAGAGACAUCAAUAUUCUAGAAGUUCACUACAGCUAUUCCUCCCAGUACCAGAAAGCACAUGCAUCUAGUAAAACAGUGAAAUCCUCUCCGGGAAGCUGUGUCAAAUUAUGGGAUUCUAUUUUCUUUGCUUGUUGAUGGCAUCCUUGUGUGUGUGUUCAGUUCAGUUCAGUUGCUCAAUCGUAUCUGACUCUUUGCGACCCCUUGAAUCACAGCACGCCAGGCCUCCCUGUCCAUCACCAACACCCGGAGUUCACUCAGACUCACGUCCAUCGAGUCAGUGAUGCCAUCCAGCCAUCUCAUCCUCUGUCGUCCCCUUCUCCUCCUGCCCCCAAUCCCUCCCAGCAUCAGAGUCUUUUCCAAUGAGUCAACUCUUCGCAUGAGGUGGCCAAAGUACUGGAGCUUCAGCUUUAGCAUCAUUCCUUCCAAAAAAAUCCCAGGGCUGAUCUCCUUCAGAAUGGACUGGUUAGAUCUCCUUGCAGUCCAAGGGACUCUCAAGAGUCUUCUCCAACACCACAGUUCAAAAGCAUCAAUUCUUCGGCGCUCAGCCUUCUUCACAGUCCAACUCUCACAUCCAUACAUGACCACAGGAAAAACCAUAGCCUUGACUAGACGGACCU